AGUGAACGCUGGCGGUAGGCCUAACACAUGCAAGCCGAACGGCAGCACAGUAAGAGCUUGCUCUUACGGGUGGCGAGUGGCGGACGGGUGAGGAAUACAUCGGAAUCUACUUUUUCGUGGGGGAUAACGUAGGGAAACUUACGCUAAUACCGCAUACGACCUACGGGUGAAAGCAGGGGAUCUUCGGACCUUGCGCGAUUGAAUGAGCCGAUGUCGGAUUAGCUAGUUGGCGGGGUAAAGGCCCACCAAGGCGACGAUCCGUAGCUGGUCUGAGAGGAUGAUCAGCCACACUGGUACUGAGACACGGUCCAGACUCCUACGGGAGGCAGCAGUGGGGAAUAUUGGACAAUGGGCGCAAGCCUGAUCCAGCCAUACCGCGUGGGUGAAGAAGGCCUUCGGGUUGUAAAGCCCUUUUGUUGGGAAAGAAAAGCAGCAGGUUAAUACCCCGCUGUUCUGACGGUACCCAAAGAAUAAGCACCGGCUAACUUCGUG
rnacentral:rRNA from 1 species